rnacentral:ncRNA from 1 species
CCCUGACAGGCGUAAUGUGCGCCUGACUUAACCCACGACAGGAGAUAAAAAUG